rnacentral:misc_RNA from 1 species
UACAGAGGGGGCAAGCGUUGUCCGGAAUAACUGGGCGUAAAGGACGCGUAGGCGGUUUUUUAAGUCGGAUGUGAAAUCCCUGGGCUCAACCUAGGAAUAGCAUACGAUACUGGAAGACUAGAGACCGAGAGAGGAAAGCGGAAUUACGAGUGUAGAGGUGAAAUUCAUAGAUAUUCGUAGGAACACCAGAGGCGAAGGCGGCUUUCUGGCUCGGUACUGACGCUGAGGCGUGAAAGCGUGGGGAGCAAACAGG